GACUGGGGUCCUAAUCCAAUCUGACCAGUGUCCUUAUAAGAGAGAAAGAGACACCAGGGGAGUACACAUACAGAGAAAAGGUUAUGUGAAGAUGUAGCAAGAAGAUAACCAUCUAUAAGCCAAGGAAAGAGGCCUCAGAACAACUCAAGUCUGCCAUCACCCUGGCCUUGGACUUCCAGCCUCCGGAACUAUGAAAAAAUACACUUCUGUUGUGUCUGUUACAAGAAGCUGGUGAAAGCUAUGGCUAGAGGAAAAGAGCCACACAACAAGAACAGUGGUCAUGUAGUGGAGGAACUCAGCCACUGCCAAACCACUGUGGUCUUACCACCUUGAACCAAGAUACCAAGAACCGGAAGAGCAUGUUUCAUGGAGUACGGCAUCUGCUACAUCAUUUUCAGAAGGCUCGCUAACGGUUUUCACCCUCAACUCCUGUCCCAGCCAUUCCAACUCCCCUUUAUUAGGCACAAACAUACUUCUCCCAAUUGCUCCCCACCAUUAAAAAAUGUGUCUGUCCUGGGG